GUAGCCUCAAGAUUGUACUUAACACUCCGUUCAAGAGCAAAAAGCAGUCGGUGUAGGCACCUCUGUACUACUUGAGUAGUACAAGAGUAGUACUCUUGUACUACUCUGUACUUCCAGAUUGGAUAUUCUUUCUUCUAAGUUUGACAACAUGGAGAUAUGGUAACUGAAGAUCAGGGAAGUGGCUUGCUCAGUCAUAGAGGUCAUCUUAGAGAGGACUCAAACCCAGGCCUUCUGACUUCAAGGAUUUUACUCUUUCUCCUGUGUCACCCAUGAGUAAAUUUAUCUCUGUUCUCCAGAAGAGGAAACUGAUGUACUGGAAAGGGACUCAUGAUAUUCAUGUUGAACACAUGUGGGCAUCCAGUUAGCAUAGUUCAUUGCUUUGGAGAACUCCUGAGCUCAAGAGAUUCCCCCAUCACUAGUCUCUCCCAAGAGCAGAGAUUAGAGGUAAGUCUGCCACACCCAGGACCAAACCUUAAAGUAACAAUGAAAUGAGAUAUAUGCCUGGGAUAAUUAUUGUUUCUCUGACUAUAAUGAGCUUCUUGAAUGGUAUAGUAGAUAAAAUGCUGGAUAUAAAGAGUUAGGAAGACCUGAGCUGAAAUUUGGCUUUAUAUACCUAUGCGACCCUGGGCAAGACCUGCCUCUCUGUACCUCAGUUUCCUCAUCUGUAAAAUGGGGAUGAUAAUUGCACCUACCUCCCAGGGUUGUGAGGCUCAACCCUGUAAACACACAUGUGUAAAGCAUUUUGAAGAACUUAAAGCACUAUAUAAAUGUUAUUACUAUAAUAAUGAUGAUGACAACAAUGGGCAGGACCAUAUCUUUUUCUGUAUCCUCCAAAAUGUCUACUACUAUACAUAGUAGAUACUCUAUUAGGAUUUUCUGAAUAUUGACCAAAUAAAGUCACAGAAUCAUAAUGUGCUAGAACUAGAAGAGGCCUGAGAACCAUUAUCAACAUUAUCUCAUAAUUACAUGGCACUUUAAGGUUUGUAAAGCAUUUGCCUUACAAACAACCUUGUGAAGUAAAGUCAUAAAAUAUUUAUUAUCUCCAUUUGACAGAUUAAGAAACAGGCUAAGAGUCAGAACUGGACGGAGCCAGCAAAUAUAAAACAGCAGAAUUAUAAGGGACCUUAGAAUGGAGACUGGAGAAUAUUGGAGUUGGAAGGGAUAUUAGAACACAGAAUAUAAAAGAGUAGAAUUGGAAGAGAUCUUAGAAUGUAGAAUAUAAAAUUCAGGGGUUGGAUAAGCCCUUACAACCAACAACCAACAUAAAGCAGAGAAUGUCAGUGCUGAAAGGGACCUCAGCAAAUAUGUCCAGGACUUUAUGAAUACAUCUGUGACCUUUAGCUGGGACUGAGUUUAUAACAGAACCUUAAUAAGGUCUUUUAAUGUGCAAAAAUAAAAAAUUCAAGUGUAGUAACAAGAAAAUAACAUCUUGUGACUAUUCCUAUCCUCCUCCCAUUUCUUCAUACAAAUGCUAAAUUUGUUCCCAUUGUGGAUAUAUUUGGAAAGAGGCUUGCGAGAGGGGAAUGAAUAAGGUGCCCACAAAAACUCAAAAAUAGACAUGCAGUGAAUAGUCAGACCUCGGGCUUCCAAUCUGUGCCACGGAGCUACAAGAAUGAAAAGGCUUGUUUCGGAAACCUCCUCACAAUGAAGGCCGAAAGGCAGCCGAUGACUACUUGGCACAGAUUGGGUCCAUUAAAAGCAAUUAUGCGGCAAUGAGAAAAGGCCAGCCUGUGACUAUCCAGCCUGCAAGGCUGUGUGUGGUAGUGUUUAUUGCCUGAGCUCCCGAGUGUGGGGUGGAUGACUGUCAAAUCAUGUGAAGACCUGCAACCCCCGGGAUGACACUGGGCAACAGGAUCCCUUUUGAGCAGGGACAGGGGAAGGGAAGCAGAGGUCAAUGCUCUUCUCAUUCUUUUUCUUCUUCCCGUUACACAGGAAGCCCAGUCACAUUGGCUUGGCAUAAAUUCAAGAGGUUAGCUAAGGAUUUAUGAGGUUGAGGUGCUAAAAAAGAGAAAGAAAGGGAAAAAAAUGGAUGGGAAGAAAUUAAAAGUGGAACCAGAAAGGCUGGAAAAACUAUGGUCAACCUGUAGCUGAGGGCCUGGCUCCUUUUUUCUGACAUCAGUCCCAAAAGUAAGCCAGCUUCUUGUAUAUUCUCAGAGUGCUCUUCCUUAUAAUCCCAAUAAUGUGGCUGGCAACAAGGGAUAGGAAAUAGGGAAGGAACAAUCUUGGGCAAGAGAAAGAGGGUGGCUGAAAGAUUACAGUAACACCAGCUUAAAGUGAGCAUGUGAAUAGUCCUAAGCAAGAAAUACUAGGUAAUAAUGCCUUCACUAUAUUGAGAAAGAUCUGAUUCUAAAAGGUCUCAGAGCAGCUGGUGGUAUAAUGAAUAAAGUUCUAGCCUUGGACUCUGGGCAAGUCCUUUAACCUCUGUCUUAGUUUUCUCUGUAAAGUGAGGAUAAAAAUGGUAGCUACCUCUCCUGAUUGUUGUGAGGAUCAAAUGAAAGGAUAUUUGUAAAGCCCUCAGCACAAUGCCUGACAUAUAACAGGUACUUAAUAUAUGUUAACUGGAUUGGAUUACCACUAGGGUAAAUUAUAAACUCCUGUUUGGAUUUUUUUGGGAAACCCUUAUAUUCUCCAUUAGUAUCAAUUAUAAAAUAGAAGCAAGGCAAAGGCUAGGCAAAUGGGGUUAAAUGAUUUGUCCAGGAUCACACAGGAAGAAUCUGAGGUCAGAUCUGAACCCAAAUCCUCCUUACUUUAGGCCUGGCUCUCUAUCCAUUGUACUACCCAGCUGCCCUGUUGUUUGAUUUUUAAAACCCUUCACAACCUGGUCUCCAUCAAUAUCCAUUAUUUUAAUUUCUUUCCUCUUUGGUCCAAGCCAAAUUCACCUUGUUUCUUUUCCUCCCAUUCAGCAUUCAUUCUCUCACUUCCAUGUCUUUACCCUGGUUGCUGGUCAUUCCUUCCUCUUUUCCAUCUCACAGAACCCUUCAUUUCCUUGAAGAUUUUACUUUAGUAGCACUCUAGAUGAAGCUUCUUUUGGCCCAUUCCCCAAGUUCUAUCGUUUUCCCUUUCUAAACUACUUUGUACUUAUUUUUUUAAAUUCUCUAUAUACUAAUAUGUAUGUGUGUAUUUUCUUCCUUGAAAAAAAUGUAAGUUUCCUUCUAUGUACACCCAAUACUUAACUUAAGUAAUAAUACUGCAUGCCUAGCAUGCAGUAUUGCUUAAUAAAUGACUGCUUCACAGCUACAUGGAGUGUGUAAAGAUUAUAUUUAUCCAUGAGCAAGUGACUAUUUAUGCCCUUGAGUAAUGCCUACCCUCCAUUUUAUCAGGGAGAAUGAAAUAUUCUGUAAAAUAAUAAAAUAAAGGCUUUAAUAUAAAAACUAAAGAGUGUCUUAAGGGGUAGAGGGAAAUCCUGAUCUUUGUCAGGAGGAUAGAAAGUGGAAGAAUGUGACAGAGCAAAAAGGGAAGAAAAGUAAAAAUGUGACACAGUGAAAACAUAAGGAGGAUUGAUAAUACUUGAAGCUGAGAAACAAAUCUCCCUCAAGAGCUGGGUACCUUGUGGAGGAAGCAGAUUUUUUUUCUCUAAGGAAUGAUGACAAAGAUCAGAGGUGUCAAACACUUAGUUCACAGCACUCUUGUUGUUGUUGUUGUUAUUCAGUCAGGUUAGACUCUUCAUGACCCCAUUUAGGUUUUUCUUGGCAGAGAUUAUAGAAUGGUUUGCCAUUUCUUUCUCCAGCUCAUUUUACAGUUGAGGAAAUUGAGGAUUAAAUGACUUGCCCAAGGUCACAAAGUCAGUAAGUGUCUGAGGCCAGACUUUAACUCAGGAAGAUGAGUCUUUAUGACUUCAGAUCUGGCCCUUUAUCCUCUGUGCUACCUAGUUGCCUAGCUGCCCUGCAAUGCUCUUCUCAAGUACAGUGUCCUUCAAGAGAUCUUUUUUUAAAAAUUCCCUUGGUUGUUAGUACCUUUCCUAAUCAAUCACCUUGUACUUAGCUUGUAUCUGUGAAUAUGUGUCCCCUAGUAGAAUGUAAGCCCCUUUAAGGUAGGGACUAGCUCACUUUUGUCUUCGUGUUCCAGUACCCAAUAUAGUGCUUGGCACAUAGUAGGUACUUAAUAAAUGCUUACAAUGGCAGCUGGGUGACAUAGUGGAUAGAGUACUGGGGCUGGAGUCAGGAAGACCUGAAUUUAAGAAGGACCAAGCCUUUUUCAAUUUCCUCAACUAUAAAAUGGGAUAACAACAGCACCUGCUUCACAGGGUUGUUGUGAGAAUCAAAUGAAAUAAUAUUUGUAGAGUGCUUAAAACAGGUCCUGGCACAGAGUAGAUGCUUAAUAAAUGAUUAUUUCCUUUCUACUGAUUAUCAUGCUUUUGACUUAAUCUGUUUCUACUUCCAUUCAUCUUAACUAAAAUGCUCUCUACCAAUUUGUCCCAGAAUUUUUCAUAAAAUUCAUUUCCUUAAUCUUCAGUGAAUACUUCCUCCCCUGCUCCCAUCUAGCCACAUGAAUCACGAGGAGUAGAUAGCAUUCACCUGUUUUUGCAAAUUUUCAAAGUGUCUCUCAUAUUUUGUGUGUGCCUUCUGAGGAUGGAAGACAUUGAUACUAUUGUUGAGUUGCCAAAUAGCUGUCUCAGUAUUCCAUAGCAUGGAUUCAAAAGUCAUAAGUAUUUUUCUCUUCUUCUUCUGACACUUAUUGGUUGAUUGUCCUGCCUCCACCCUGACUAAUUGGGAGUGCCAUACAUAGUCUGUUAAUAUCUAGGGCCUGGGUUCCCUUAAUGUUUUACUUUAUUCCUACCCAGAGUAUCUAUUUUGUAGUUCUAGAAUCAUAAUCAAACUUGUACAGCCAUUGUGACUGAAAAAAGUAUAUUUAACUACUCCCCUAUAACAUAUGAGAAAGAACACUAUCCACAUUCAGAGGAAGAAUUGUGGGAAUAGAAACACAGAAGAAAAACAACUGCUUGAUCACAUGGGUCGAUAUGAUUGGGGAUGUAGACUCUAAGCCAUUACCCUAGGGUAAUUAUCAAUAAUAUAGAAAUAGGUCUUGAUCAAUAAUACAUGUAAAACCCAGUGGAAAUGCGCAUCAGCUAUGGGAGGGGGUUGGGGGGAAAGGAGGUAAAGAACAUGAAUCUUGUAACCAUGGAAAAAUAUUCUAAAUCAACUAAUUAAAUAUAAUUUAAAACCUCAAUUCUUAAAAUAGUGCUUGACAAAUGGCAACUCAAACACUCCAAUAUUCAUUCACUCAUAAAGUAAAAAAUGGCAGUUGUGACUUGUUACUCAGGUCCUGAUUUUAAAUUCAGGGCCCUCCCUGUGCCCCUGAUAUAGGCCUCCAGCUGUGUGACCCUGGGCAACUCACUUAACCCCAAAUGCCUAGCCCUUACUGCUAUGCUGCCUUAGAAUCGAUACCUAGUAUUGAUUCUAAGACAGAAGGUAAGGAUAUAUAUAUAUAUAUAUAUAUAUAUAUACACACACACACAUACAUAUAUAUAUAUAUAUAUAUAUAAAGCUAACCAAUAUCACCAAAAGAGACAGUAUAUACAUAGCUAAAAUACUCCACCUCUGCAAAGAAGGGGAGGCAGUGUAUUCUCAUGGCCAAGUUUACUUAAUAUAAUUAUGUUCAGUUCUCAGUUGUGAUUAAAAAAAUAAUAGCUACCAUGUUAUUAAAUGAGAAUUAUUUUAAGCAUCAUUUUUGAAGGAAUUUUAUUCAAAUCAACAAUAUUACAUGUGUAAAAAGGAAUUCUUUACUUCUUUUUUUUAAUUUAAUGGGGACCUGGAGGCCCUCUUAUCAGAGAUGUGUAAGGAUUAACCAGCCCACAAUGACAGGAAGUAGAAACCAUAGAGACAGGAAGGAGAAACCAAAGAGAUAAGAAGUGAGGUUGAAAAAGGGUAUAAAAGGUGUUCAGCUGCUGACAGUUGGGGCUGGCAGUUGGCAGUCAGUUACUGACAAUGAGGGUGGGCAGUUAGCUGCUGGGUGUGAGUUGGUGGUUGGUGUUUAGUUGCUGGAAUAUAAAGGCAGGCCUGAGCUCACUGAGAAAACUUUUUGCCUUUUAGAUUUUUGGCUUUUGGUUUGGGCUGUUAGGGCUUUUUCUUUUCCUUGAACUUUUUGGAAAAUGACUGGUCUUUGUUAUCAGACUUAAUUGGGGUUGAAUUAAACACCGAUUGGGUUGGAACUUUUGUGGGGUGAUUGUUAUUAGUGGUAAUUACAGGCAGAUAUAGGUAAAUAUAGGCAGUUUUAGAUAGUAAUUAUAAGUAGUUAUAGAUAGUUACAGGAUAACUAGUAUAGACAUUAAGAAAUUUCUUUCUCUACCUCUUUCCUAUAUUUCUCUCUUUUACUAUAUUAAUUUUACUAUAUUCUUUUACUAUCUUUAUUUUAAUAAAACUAAAUUGUUAAUUGUUAAAAGCUGCUAGAAGUUUUCUUUUCUCUGGCUUAAAGGGAUAAUAUUAAUUUACAACUCUACUAUAUUCUCAUUAAAACGUGAGUUAUUAAAAGCUGCUCUCUUAUUUUGUCAAAACCCCUAUUUUAAUCCUUACACAAGCAACUCAGAAUAUUUAGUGACAAGUAUGAAAGUGUUAAACAGAGGAGACAUGGCUUAUAUAUCAGUGUGACUUCGUAGCUAAAAAAAAAAAAGUAAUUUGGUGGUAACAUUCCACAAAUCAUAGAUUAUAGAACACAGGAGGGUAAAUCUAACUGGACUCUGCUCUAAUCAAAUCACACUUUGCGUGUGUAUUCCAUUUUGGAUACCCCACUUUGGGAAGAACAAGCUAUAGCACAGCCUCAAGAGGGCAAUCAUGAUGGUGAAGGGACCUCAAAUCAUUACACAUGAGAAUUGGCUGAAAGAACUGAGUAUGUUUAACCUAACAGGUUGCUGAAAGCAUAUCUUCUAUAUUUGGUACAUGAAUUAGAUUUGUAAAUUUUUUUAAUGGCCAGAGUUUUGUCUAUUAGUAUUUUUGCUUAUUUUCUUCAAAUUUCCUGUUUUUACUCAGUUAUCCAUAAAAAGAACUGGUAUGAUACAUUUACAUUAUAAAAAUUAAGAAUAUAAAAGGACACUGGUUAUUUUACAUUCAUUCUGCUAUAAGAGAUCAAAUUAUCUUAGGUUUUAUACUAUUGGACACAUUAGAAAAUCAAUUCUAGAUCAAUAAGAAGCCAACUUUAGGGUCAUUUGAGUGGUUUCAAUAAAUUUCUUAUAGAUAUAAUUAUUAGCUGAAUGUCUAUGGCAAAUGGAUAUAUUACAAAUUCAUGUUAUCCAACCUGAAUUGGAACCUUGUUGUAGCAAGAUAAUUCUUAUAUUCCAGACCCGCCUCCCACAUCAACUGAUUUCCUAUUUCCUCUUCACAGAAGCUAUGACAAAUUGUCUCUUCUCAAACUUUUUAUAUUAUCCCUCUCCCCAAUCUUUCAGCUGGGGACUUUGUCUCACUUAAACGAGAAAAUUGAGGCCCAACAUAAGCACCUUCUCCCACCUUCUCUUCAGGCCAAAGCCCCUUGAUGUCAUAUUCCACUCUUUCUGCCUUUCCCCCAGUUUCUGACAAAGAGAUAGUCCUUCUUCCUGCUAAGACCAACCUCUCUGCUUGUAUAAUUGAUCCCAUUUCUGCUUGUUUUCUAUAGGAGGCUGCAUCCUCAAUUAUUCCUACUUCUCUAAUCUCCAAACCUGUCCCUAUCUACUAGUUUUUUUUUCUAUUGUCUUCAAGAAUUCCAUUUAUCCAAUUAAAAAAACGAUCAUAUUUUAUUAUAUUUCAUGUUAUUAUCCAUAUCUUUCCUUUUUUUCUUAGUCAACUGCCCUAAAUAAGCUUUUUACACCAACUGCUUCCAUCUCCAUUCUCACUCCUCAACCCUUGAUAAAUUAGUUCCUCAGCUAAUCAAUCAACUGAAAUUGAUUUCUCCAAAGUUACCAGUGAAGCUUUAACUAUUAAAUAUGAUGGUUGUUUUUGAUUUGAGUCCUUCUAGACCUAUCUGCUGCAUUUGAUACUGCUGACCACACUUUCCUUGUGGAUAUUCUGUCCUGGGUUUUUAUAACCCUGCUCUUUCCUGUUUUUCCUGUUUCUUACCUGUCUGACAACUUCUCAGUUUCCUUGCUGACUCAUCACCUAAAUCAUGCCUUAUAACUGUGGAUAUAUCCCAAGGUUCUGACCUAGGUCUUCUUCACUUCUCCCCCUAUACUUUCACUUAGUAACUGUAGCAGCUUCCAUGAGUUUAACUAUCAUCUCAAUGCAAUCAACUCAUAAACACAUAAAAAUGCAGCCCUGGUUUCUCCCUCAAGCUUCAGUCUCCCUCAAGCUGCAUUAGCCUACCAGGCUUUUCCAACUGGAUAUCCCAGAUACAUCUCAAAUUCAACAUAUACAAAAUAGAACUUAUUAUCUUUCUCCCUAAAACAUACCUUCUUCCAAAUUUCCUGGUUUUUAUAAAAGUACUGUCGCCUUUCCAGGCUUUCAGGUUUAUAAAUUCAGUAUUAUCCUCAACUCCUUGCUUUCUUACCCCAUAUAUACAAUCAGUUGCCAAAUCUUGCCAUUUCUAUCUUGUCAAUGUCUCUUGUAUUCAAACUCUUAUCUUACCUACCAUCUUAGUCUGGGUCCUCCCCUAGAUUAUCUAAUAGUAUCCCAAUUAGUCUCCCUAUCUCAAGUUUUCCCCCCAUUUCAAACUAUACUACACAUUACUGCUAAAAUAAUUUUCCUUAUGUGUAUAUCUGUCCAGAUGAUUUCUCUAGCCAAUCAGUACCAGGGACUUCCUAUUAUCUAAAAUAAAAUAUAAUAUAAAUUUCUCUGUUUAGUUUUUAAUGCUGGACACAAUCAGGCUCCAAUCUAUCUUUUAUGUCAAGUCAAACAUUUAUUAAGUGCCUAGAAUGUGCCAGACACUGUGCUAAAUGCUAAGGAUUCCCCCAAACCAUAAGAAAAGUCUUUAUCCUCAAGGAGAUCCCAGUCUGAUAGGGGAAAAAAACAGGUUAACACGAUUUAGAGAUAAUUAACAGAGGGAAGGUGCUACCUUAUUAAGGGAGAUUUGGAAAAGCUUCUUGAAGAAGGUGGGAUCUUAGCUGAGACAAAGAUGAGGAAGGAGAACAUUUCAGACAUGGAAUAAAAAUGCAUGUGAAAAAGUUAGUGAAAAUGCAUGAAGUUGGGAGAUGGAGUGUGUUUCUAGCCUCAUUAACAUUACUCCCUUUCCCAUACUCUGAGAAUCAUGUAACAUGGCCUUCUCUCUGUUCCCCUCACUGUUCAAUAAGGGAAGAAUGAUCAAAGAAUAAACAUGGUUUGAAAACAACUACCAUAGAAACACGGAAAUUGAUGUAUUGUUAGUCAACAAUAUAGCUGUAUAGAAUUGCAUUCAAUUUGGCAUUGUUGAAAUCACUGGACUUGAAGUCAGGGGAGAUAUCUGGGUUCUAAUCUUAUAAAACUUACUACAACCACAGGCAAGCCAUUUAACCUCUCAUCAUCUUGGUUUUAUCAUUUGUAGCUCCAAACGCACAGGGUUUCUAUGAGGACCAAAUGAGACAAUGCAAAUAAACUUUACUAAAACCUAAAAAUAAUAUAGAAAUGCUAGCAGUAUUGUUACUGGGAGGUAGUCUAAGAACACUGGGAUUAGAGUCAGGGGAACAGAAUUAGAAUCCAGGCCUUCCAAUUAUCUAAUGUGAUUAAAAACAAACAAAAAACCUCCCUUAUUUCUGUCUCUGUUUCAAUUCUAAGACAGAAGAGGGGCAAGGACUAGGGAACUGGGGUUAAAGGACUUGCCCAGAGUCACACAGCUAAGAAGUAUCUUGAGGUCAAAUUUGAGUACAAGUCCUCCUGACUCCAGUUCUAAUGCUCUAUCCACUGUGCUACCUAGCUGUCCCUAUUUAUGUGAUCUUGGGGGAAAAAAAAACACACCCUUCCCUGUUCUAAGAUCAAGUUUCAUUAUAUGCUAGGUCUAAUAUUUUAUAUUUUAAGGUUUUAAGGACUCCUUCCUGUGACAUGUUUGAUUUAAGAUCCUUUCUGAAUUUUAUAUUCUCAGUUCACAUCUUGCCUUCAAAUCUAAGGACCAAAGUUUAUUUCAUCUACUAGUCAGUUGACAGAGAAGAAAUAAAAAUCUCUUCCUGGUAAAGUCAGUCCCAACCACCACAUUUGCUUAAUGGUUUGAGGAUUACUGGUGCUUGGUCAAUCCAGGUAGAAAGUUUACAAAAUAGGAACUGGGCUCCUAUUCUGCCAGAGUUGAAAAGUAAGCACUCAUCUUGGGAAAGCUUUUCAAAUAAAAUGGCUAUUGUUUCAUAGCAGUCUUCAGGUUCAAGGGACAGAACAUGUUGGUCCUUCUCAGUCCAGAACAACAGGCUGACAUUACCAGCCCAGUUCCAGAGAUCCCGUGCAUGACGCAUACUCUGUGACUCAAGAUCAGUGUCAACAGCAUUGGAAAACACAAAGUUUGGGGGUGGGGUGGGGUGAUAAAGACACACAGCCAUAAGGUACUCAGAGGGAGCAAACAUGAAAAGAUGUUGCAGUUACAAUAUCAUACUGUCCUUCCAUUUCCCCCCUCCCCAUCCUCCAAAAAAAGUAUUUCUGGAAACCAUUUAUGCAUUUGAAUAGAUCUAGGCCAGUGGUUCUCAACCUUUCUAAUGCUGUGACCCUGCAAUACAGCUCCUCAUGUUGCGCUGACCCCAAGCCAAAAAAUUAUUUUGGUGGCUCCUUCAAAACUGUAAUUUUGCUACAGUUAUGAUUCGGAAUGUAAAUACCUGAUAUGCAUUAUGGAUUCUCAUUGCUACAAAUUGAGAGGUUGAGAACCGCUGAUCUAGGGGAAACUAACCUGGGCCAAUGAUGGAACUCAGCGUGAAAUGCAUCAGAAAUCAAGAACCAGGAGUGAUUUUUCUUUUUCACUUGUAUAAAAUUCUAGUUUCUCCAAGUUUACUUGAAAUCAGGGAAAAGGCUUUGCCAGCAGUUGAUACUUUACUAUGGAAAACCAGUUAGUAGGUGGGCUGAAAUUUGCAAAAGGAAAAAAAAUUCAGAAAAACAUAGAAUUUAGAACUAGAUCAAAAUGCUUUCAUUUUAAAGAUAAAGAAAAUGAGACCCAGAGAGAAAACUAGCCCACAGUCAUAAAAGUAGUAAGUGGUAGUUAGAAGUCCAACCUAUCCUCUGGCAGCAAAUCCAGUAUUUUCUCUAUUGUACCAAUAGUUCAAAUACAGGAAUGGGUGCUUAUACAACAAAAGGCAAAAACAAGUUUUCUUAUAUAAUUUCUUUUUUCUGUUCUACUUUGCAUAAAGAUAUGCACAUUUUAAUCUGGUGUUUGUUAAGAUUAGACUAAAAAAGCCCAACCCAUCUUCAUCAGGAAAAAUAGGAAAAAUUUGGAGAUUGUGCAUGCAUAAUAGGAGUUAGGAAAAGAAGCAGUGUGAUCUCCUGGAAAGAGCUCUGGACUUGAAGUUAGAAGACCUGGGUAUGAGUUCUAGUUCUAACUGAGUGAUUUUCAGGAAGUUAUUUUCCCCUCUCUGAAUAAUUCCUCCCUCUCCCAUUGAAAUAUUUGGAAUGUUGUUAAAAAAUCAAACGUGAUGGUACACUUAUGUAAAGCACACUGUAACCAUGAGCAAUAUGUACAAUUAUUAUUUGGGAUCACAGAACUGGCAAUGUGGUAAGUCAGGAGGAUACUUACCCCCCCCCCCCCCCCUAUAAACCAAACCAAACCAUGGGGGAAAACUUUCCACCUGUUAAGAUGCUUGGAAUUCCACCUAACUGAAGAAUCCUAGGUAAUAACUCAUCUGCAAUGUAUACUUUAGUGUGAAGCGUUUUCUUCAAAUAAUAAAAUUGGAUCUCAUUAAUUAGGGAGUUCCUGCCAACAAUGCUGUUGGCAACCUGUCCAUGCUGCCUGUUCUUUACAGCUCUUGUCCAAAACCUUACAACAAUUUAUGGGGGAGGAGGAUUCUCCCAACAUGCCUUUGCUUUCUCCUGGCAUAGGGAGAGUGCCAGGGGAGCUUUUUGGCUGGCUGUGCUUGUUAUCAUAACCUGUCCUUCUUUUCUUCCUAUCGUUCAACUUUUUGAUGAAGUGUUUAAUAAGAUUCUUUUCAAAUUGUUGCUCCAUGCAAAAGGGGAAAAGAACAGUCAUUAAGUUCAAAGUUGGUAGGUCAUGGAGGAUAUACUUAGAAUUGGCUGAGCCCUUAGAGAUCAUUGAGUAUAACCCUCUCAUUUCAUGGAUUGGAAAAAUGUGGCCCAGACAAAGUGACUUCUCUUUCCUACACAUGUAAAAAGUAAAUGAUGGAGCCAGUUGAGAAGAAGCAAUAAGGAUUCUAUUCCUAAUUCUAGAUGCAGUGAUCUUUCAACUAUGCCAUGUUGCUCAUUGAGGAAAAUUCUGUCUGGGAGUAUAGAGCACUAGUGAAGGCCAAGAUCAGGCUCAUGCAUACUAGAGGAGCACUGUUGAAAAUGUCUGGAUGAGAAUUCUCAAUGUGUUUUGCUUUAGAUUCGCUUUCAAAAAUAAUCACAAUCUAUUUUUUCUAUAAUGCUUUAGAGGUUUAUAAAGCACUUUCCUUAUAAUGAUCCUCUUGUGGUUAGGAGUAUAAGAAUUGUUACUCUCCAUUUUCUAGAUAAGAAAACCAAGGCUAAGAGAACAGCAGAGACUUCCACUUUCAGUCAUAUGAAGAUAAGCCUCAAACCCAAGUCUUUUGUCUUGAAGUUUAGUACUCAUUCCACUACACUACUCUGUCACUAGAUAAUAGCUAUGAUGUAAAGACAAUGCUACAUAGUUUACAAAAGCCCUAUAUAUAGCAGUAGCUUCUAUGGUUUUCAUCUGGUAGGGGACAGGAGACUUCUAGAGGUUUUUGCACAGAUAGUAAGAUGAACAGGCUUGUACAUUAGGAAGAUUAUGCUGGCAGCUAUAUAAAGGAUGAAUCGGAAAGGGAAUAGAUAAGGUCAGAGGAAAUUAAAGACAAAUUCAAUAGUUUAGGGUAAAAAAAGCUAAGGCCUGAAAGAAUGGUUCUAGUGGGAAGGGAGAAGAGGAACCAUAAAGAACUAUUCUGGAUGCAGAGAUUACAGGUCUUGGCAAGUUAUUUGAUUCUCACAAUUAUUCUAUGAGAUAGGUAAUACCACCUAUUUCCAUAUCCCCUUUUAUUUUUAAAACCGCACCUUCUAUCUUAAGAGUUGAUACUAAGUAUCAGUUUCAAGGCAUAAGAGGGGUAAGGACUGAGCAAUGGGGGAUAAGUGACUUGCCCAGGGUCACACUGCUAGGGAAUUCCUUAAGUCAAAUUUGAACCCGG